rnacentral:tRNA from 1 species
UUAGUUGAAACCAAAAUAGAGGUAGAUUAAUGUUAAUAAUCCAAAUGAAUAAAUAUUAUUCCAUCUAAA